UACGUAGGGGUGCGAGCGUUGUCCGGAAUUAUUGGGCGUAAAGGGCUCGUAGGCGGUCUGUCACGUCGGGAGUGAAAACACGGGGCUUAACCCCGUGCCUGCUUCCGAUACGGGCAGACUAGAGGUAUGCAGGGGAGAACGGAAUUCCUGGUGUAGGCGGUGAAAUGCGCAGAUAGUCAGGAGGAACACCGGUGGCGAAGGCGGUUCUCUGGGCAUUACCUGACGCUGAGGAGCGAAAGUGUGGGGAGCGAACAGG
rnacentral:rRNA from 1 species